CGGUGGCGUCACCACCCGGCCCGGCCCGUCCCGUCCCGAGUCACGGUGGCAAGAGGGGGGCAGGGGGCAGGGGGCCGGGCCUUGGCAGCGCUAUGUCGGUGCGAGAGGCCCACCCUUAACGGUACAAAAUAUAAAAAGUCACCCUCCCCCAGUGGUAAUUCCUAUUACAGUGGCACUUCCCGAAAUCCGGCCGAUGCGGAGACGGAGCGGUAAAUCGUGGCGUCAUCGAUGAUGCAAUGGUAACAUUGACUAUAACGUGACGUCAGAGACUGCGCAACUUGGAUCUUGCUACUGACUUGGACCAUACUCUAUCAGGACCAUGUGGUGGAUGGAGUGCAGUGAUCACCCACGACAGAAGUACUCACCUAGAAGCAUCCUCCAUUUUGUUGGACUAAUUUAUCCUUGGCCUUGAGAAUCUACCCAAGGAGAAAGAGAAGAUGGUCUUUUUAGCUCAUUCUAUGCUUGAUCGCUGCAGAAAUCCUCUAACUAAUAUGUUGUGUAUUUAAUAUUUCAAUAAUCUUGUAUAUACAGUAUAUUGGUUGAUUAAGCAUUCCUGUUCCUUUAAAUAAUUCAUUACAGGUCAUAUGUAUAAGUACAAGAAUUGCAUGUUAUCAUGUGCAACUCGCUUAAAGUAAACUUGAAGUUAGACCUGUAUUUUUGACUCCUCUGUCUUCCUUUGAAUUAGUUUAAUGUUUUGAAGUUGCAAAACAUAACAGAACUGACAGCAAGUAUUUUGCUGUUAUUUUAUAUUUCCCUUCCUGAUCUUAAAUUCCUAUUGCUGAAAUAAAUGAUU